UUUACACAUGCAGUCGAACGGCAGCACGGGCUUCGGCCUGGUGGCGAGUGGCGAACGGGUGAGUAAUGCAUCGGAACGUGCCCAUGUUGUGGGGGAUAACUACGCGAAAGCGUAGCUAAUACCGCAUAAGCCCUGAGGGGGAAAGCGGGGGAUUCUUUCGGAACCUCGUGCGAUUUGGAGCGGGCGAUGUCGGAUUAGCUAGUAGGUGAGGUAAAGGGUCACCCUAGCCGAACGAAUCCCGUAAGCGGGGUUCCUUGAAGGAAGGAUUGAAUUCCCGGCCAACCAACCUGGGGAACUGGAGAACACCGGGCCCAGAACUCCUACGGGAGGCAGCAGUGGGGAAUUUUGGACAAUGGGCGCAAGCCUGAUCCAGCCAUGCCGCGUGAGUGAAGAAGGCCUUCGGGUUUGUAAAGCUCUUUCGGCCGGGAAGAAAUCGCAUUCUCUAAUAUAGGAUGUGGAUGACGGUACCGGACUAAGAAGCACCGGCUAACUUACGUGCCAGCAGCCGCGGUAAUACGUAGGGUGCGAGCGUUAAUCGGAAUUACUGGGCGUAAAGCGUGCGCAGGCGGUUUUGUAAGGCAGAUGUGAAAUCCCCGGGCUUAACCUGGGAACUGCGUUUGUGACUGCAAGCUAGAGUACGGCAGAGGGGGGUGGAAUUCCUGGUGUAGCAGUGAAAUGCGUAGAUAUCAGGAGGAACACCGAUGCGAAGCCAGCCCCUUGGCCCUGUACUGACGCUCAUGCACGAAAGCGUGGGAGCAAACAGGAUUAGAUACCCUGUAGUCCACGCCCUAAACGAUGUCGACUAGUCGUUCGGAGCAGCAAUGCACUGAGUGACGCAGCUAACGCGUGAAGUCGAACCGCCUGGGGAGUACGCCGCCAAAGGUUAAAACUCAAAGGAAUUGACGGGGACCCGCACAACGGUGGACGAUGUGGAUUAAAUUCGAUGCAACGCGAAAAACCUUACCUACCCUUGACAUGUCUGGAACCUUGGUGAGACCGAGGGUGCCUUCGGGAGCCAGAACACAGGUGCUGCAUGGCUGUCGUCAGCUCGUGUCGUGAGAUGUUGGGUUAAGUCCCGCAACGAGCGCAACCCUUGUCACUAGUUGCCAUCAUUGAGUUGGGCACUCUAGUGAGACUGCCGGUGACAAACCGGAGGAAGGUGGGGAUGACGUCAAGUCUUCAUGGCCUUAUGGUUAGGGCUUCACACGUCAUACAAUGGUCGGUACAGAGGGUUGCCAAACCGCGAGGUGGAGCCAAUCCCUUAAAGCCGAUCGUAGUCCGGAUCGUAGUCUGCAACUCGACUACGUGAAGUCGGAAUCGCUAGUAAUCGCAGAUCAGCAUGCUGCGGUGAAUACGUUCCCGGGUCUUGUACACACCGCCCGUCACACCAUGGGAGUGGGUUUCACCAGAAGUAGGUAGCUAACCUUCGGGAGGC
rnacentral:rRNA from 1 species